rnacentral:rRNA from 1 species
GCAAGCGUGAAUCGGAAUUACUGGGCGUAAAGCGUGCGCAGGCGGUCUUGCAAGACAGAUGUGAAAUCCCCGGGCUCAACCUGGGAACUGCAUUUGUGACUGCAAGGCUGGAGUACGGUAGAGGGGGAUGGAAUUCCGCGUGUAGCAGUGAAAUGCGUAGAUAUGCGGAGGAACACCGAUGGCGAAGGCAAUCCCCUGGACCUGUACUGACGCUCAUGCACGAAAGCGUGGGGAGCAAACAGG